CUGUUCUUUUGAACUUUCUAUUAAUAAAAGAACCCUGAAAAAAAUCAAAGUUCCAUCAAAAAAUUAAGCAGCAGACUUUUUGUCAACAUAUUGACAAUAAUAAUAAGAUAACAUAAUUAUGAUAAUAAGAGCAGCAAGUUGGCAUAUUAGAAUGAUUUCUGAAGGAUCAUGUGACAAUGAAGACUGGAGAAAUGAUGCUGAAAAUUCAGCUUUGCCAUAUCAGGAAUAAAUUAUAUUUUAAAAUAUAUUCAAAUAGAAAACAGUGAUUUUACAGUGUAAUAAUUUUUCACAAAAUUACUAUAUUUUUACUGCAGUUUUAAAUCAAUACAUAAAUCCAAACGUUUGAACUGUAGUGCAAGUCACUUUAGAUAAAAGCAUUAUAUAUGUAAAGAAUUACACUUUUUCUUCUUAUUAUUAUGACUUCUGUUGCAUACUUUUUGGGUUUUCAGAUUAAAAAAAAAAAACAAAUAACACAGAUUAUCAACCAACCAAUAAAUAAAUACAAAAUCACAACACUAAAUAACUCCCAGACCACUACAGUCCAAAAAAGUGCUUCAUAUUUUAGGCCUCGAAAGAGCCGGACGUCUGCUUUGACAACAACGCAGAUGAGGACGCAUCUGACUGUGGUGGUGGCUACAGUUUGAGUCCGUCUCUCUGGCCGAUGUUGGCUCUUCAGCUCCUUCUACUCUGGCUGCUUACUGGAACCAGAACCUGUUUGUCCUGACCAGAGCACAUCUACAGACUAGACUGACUGAACUGCUUAUUAUACAGACCAUAACAUUACCACACUUCAACUAUAUGACCUAAGAUUGUUAGUCAACCCAAAAUAAUAUGACUAAUGCAGAUUCAAACUCUACUGUUUUGGUAAAUUGACAUGACUCACCAACUCACUGCCAAACACUGCCCUCUCAGACCAACCAGAAAAAGCAACACAGUCAGACACGAGAGACAUAUAUACACUUAUCUUUUUAACACAGAACCACGUUAUGACCACAGAAAUGGUUCAUGCAAAAUGUUUAGUGCCACAAACAGGCAAAUAUAAUGUGUUAACAGUGUGGUCAGAGACGGCUUGCAGCGCCAGUCUGGAUCUGAAGCAGGGUUUAAUGGGACAGGAAAGGCUGUUCAGCUCUGGAGCUCAUAAUGAAUUCUGCUGGAAGUGAGCUUUGCAGCAGUAGUAGGUCUGUGAUGUCACACCCAAGCCCUUUAGGCCCAUCAAGGGCUGUUUUACUUGUUUUAUGUUCUUUGAUUUCUCUGGUAUGUGCAGUAGGGGAAAUCUCAUGAAGAAAUCUGUAAGUCAUAUUUCACCUCAACAUUAAAAGAUAUGAAUAUAUAUACAGCACCACUGAAAAGUUUGGGGUCGGUAAGAAUUUUGUAAUGCAUUUAAAAGAGGUCUUUUAUGUUCACCAAGACUGCAUUUAUUAUUAAGAAUAUAGCAAAAUAUUAUUACAAUUAAAAAUGUAAUGUAAUGUUUUUAAAUGUAAUUUAAUUUCAAUGUCAAAAUGUUAAAAUCAUUUAUUGACAUUGAAAAAGUGUUUACUGUUAUGUUUGAUUAAUGCAUCCUUGCUGAAUAAUAUUUAAGUAAUAUUUUAUUGCAUAAUAUUACAUUAUUUUAAAUAUUUUAAAUGUAAUUAUAUAUAUA
ensembl:lncRNA